AUUGAACGCUGGCGGCAGGCCUAACACAUGCAAGUCGAGCGGUAGAGAGAAGCUUGCUUCUCUUGAGAGCGGCGGACGGGUGAGUAAUGCCUAGGAAUCUGCCUGGUAGUGGGGGAUAACGUUCGGAAACGGACGCUAAUACCGCAUACGUCCUACGGGAGAAAGCAGGGGACCUUCGGGCCUUGCGCUAUCAGAUGAGCCUAGGUCGGAUUAGGUAGUUGGUGGGGUAAUGGCUCACCAAGGUGACGAUCCGUAACUGGUCUGAGAGGAUGAUCAGUCACACUGGAACUGAGACACGGCCCAGACUCCUACGGGAGGCAGCAGUGGGGAAUAUUGGACAAUGGGCGAAAGCCUGAUCCAGCCAUGCCGCGUGUGUGAAGAAGGUCUUCGGACUGUAAAGCACUUUAAGUUGGGAGGAAGGGCAGUAAAUUAAUACUUUGCUGUUUUGACGUUACCGACAGAAUAAGCACCGGCUAACUCUGUGCCAGCAGCCGCGGUAA
rnacentral:rRNA from 1 species